rnacentral:lncRNA from 1 species
AUGCAUGCUUGUUUGUUUCUAUUCCAAACAGAUCCAUCUCUGGUGGUUUCCACUGAAGGACAAAGUAUCUGUUUGCCAUGUGGCGUACCUUCUGAGUCGUGCUCCUCGAUAAACUGGAAGAUGGAAGAAAGGGUUCCCGGCUGGUUUUCUGAUGUGGUGAUGGAUGGAAGGGUGACAUCUGCAGAUGCCAGGUAUCAUCUGUUGAAGGACUGUUCCUUGGAAAUCGCUCAAGUCAAACCUGAUGAUGCCCACAUGUACACCUGUCAAAGCGGAUCACUUAAGUCAAGUGUUUCACUUCGGAUCCUUGAAGGUGGCCUGGAGGAAGUGUUUGCUGCUGUGGGUGAGUCAGUGUCACUCACUUGCACUUCCUCUCUCAGUUCUGGAGGCAACACAGAGUGGACUGUGAACAAAACACCACUGAGAAACAUGUCAUCUGAAACCAGCCCAACAAAAGCAUUUCACCUGGAUGAAGACUCAUCGUUGGUGAUCAGUAAACUGAGUCCUCUGAAUGCAGGAGAAUAUCAGUGUACUGAGUCCACCGGCCUGCAAAGAGUCCUCAACAAAAUCAGGCUGCACACACUCGAUGUUACGGCAGAGUCCACGUCAGCAGGAGUGAAGCUCACCUGUGUGCUAACUUGUGCUGAACAAUGUGAAGAAAACUUUAACCUAAGCUGGUCUGGAACCAGUCGAGAAGCUCUGCAGAAACUCGCCUGGUUGGGUCUCAUCAGCCUCCUCAUAUGUGCAGCUGCAGGAGGAUGUUACAUGUACAGGAAGUGGAAGCAAAACAAGGAUGCAGCUAAUGAACAUCCUGGAAUUGGAAUGACUCAGGUUUAUGAUGUCAUUCAGGAUGUGGAAGUAAAAGAGCAAAGACCUUUCAAGAGAGAAGUCCCCACCACUGAUGAUGGUUUCUAUGAUUUAUUACAGGCUGUCAGUUAA